GAUAAACGCUGGCGGCGUGCUUAACACAUGCAAGUCGAACGGAGUACUUCUCCCGAGACCGAGGAAGCUUGCUUCCAAAGAAUCAUUUGAAGUACUUAGUGGCGGACGGGUGAGUAACGCGUGGGUAACCUGCCUCACACAGGGGGAUAACAGUUGGAAACGACUGUUAAUACCGCAUAAGCGCACAGUAUCGCAUGAUACAGUGUGAAAAACUCCGGUGGUGUGAGAUGGACCCGCGUCUGAUUAGCUAGUUGGUGAGGUAACGGCCCACCAAGGCGACGAUCAGUAGCCGGCCUGAGAGGGUGUACGGCCACAUUGGGACUGAGACACGGCCCAAACUCCUACGGGAGGCAGCAGUGGGGAAUAUUGCACAAUGGGCGAAACCCUGAUGCAGCGACGCCGCGUGCGCGAUGAAGUAUCUCGCGUAUGUAACGCUCUAUCAGCAGCGAAGAUACAUGACA
rnacentral:rRNA from 1 species